CACCAAUCAAGCCUGGCUUGGUAUUGGGCCACGGGGGCGACCCGGGCCUCAAAGUCCCCGGCUGGAAAGCUCUGAUCUCAGCGUCGUGGUCAAUCAAUUCGCCGACGAGAGGAGUGGUCCACGCCGUGAAACUCAUCACAGG
rnacentral:misc_RNA from 1 species